rnacentral:rRNA from 1 species
CCGGAGCUUGCUCCACCGGAAAAAGAGGAGUGGCGAACGGGUGAGUAACACGUGGGUAACCUGCCCAUCAGAAGGGGAUAACACUUGGAAACAGGUGCUAAUACCGUAUAACAAUCAAAACCGCAUGGUUUUGAUUUGAAAGGCGCUUUCGGGUGUCGCUGAUGGAUGGACCCGCGGUGCAUUAGCUAGUUGGUGAGGUAACGGCUCACCAAGGCCACGAUGCAUAGCCGACCUGAGAGGGUGAUCGGCCACAUUGGGACUGAGACACGGCCCAAACUCCUACGGGAGGCAGCAGUAGGGAAUCUUCGGCAAUGGACGAAAGUCUGACCGAGCAACGCCGCGUGAGUGAAGAAGGUUUUCGGAUCGUAAAACUCUGUUGUUAGAGAAGAACAAGGAUGAGAGUAACUGUUCAUCCCUUGACGGUAUCUAACCAGAAAGCCACGGCUAACUACGUGCCAGCAGCCGCGGUAAUACGUAGGUGGCAAGCGUUGUCCGGAUUUAUUGGGCGUAAAGCGAGCGCAGGCGGUUUCUUAAGUCUGAUGUGAAAGCCCCCGGCUCAACCGGGGAGGGUCAUUGGAAACUGGGAGACUUGAGUGCAGAAGAGGAGAGUGGAAUUCCAUGUGUAGCGGUGAAAUGCGUA